CAACGCAAUAGCCAAGCGCUAACGGGGGCGCUCACGGGGCACCGCGGACAUGUAUUUGAGCGGACUAACGAUGCCGCGUCUUCACCGGAGCAAGAUGUCGAGGCGCUGGUGGCCAUCUUACGUUGCCGAACUUGAGCUGUCUCGACUGCCCUGCGUGCAUAUUUUGUCAGUAUGAACGUGACGUAAAAUUUCCUUCUUAUCGCGUCUCUCCGAGUACUACUCAAAAGAUUUCGUCUGCAUCACGUUGUCACAACCGCCAUCGGGGAAACAAUUGCUGCGGAAUGUAAGCCGAUCCUCUGAGGGCACAAUUCGCCGUAGUGAGCUAAUGUACUCUGAAUGUUUGAUGCUAACAGUCAAGGUGGGGUCCCGGUAUAAAACACGCAGGGAGAACGGCGUUUUCAGCCAAAUCCCAACAGAUGGGUCAGUCACGAUGGCAACGCAAGAUGGCUGACCUCUGACUUCAGCUGCGAGGGGCCAGCUGUUGGGCCAUCACAAUGAAAUCCAGGCAGGGCGCUAAUCGGGUGCUAACAGCGCGCCAGUUUGCAGGUCAACCGCUACACUGGAUGCUAACAGUGUGCUAAUCUGUCCAUGUUGUCUCUGAAGGGGGGGGUGGGGGGUUCAGGGGAGAGAGAGAGAGAGAGACGCAAGACGGGAAAGAUCCCACCCAAUCCAAACAAUAACAUGACCACAAUCACGGGAGCGAGGCGCUCAUAUUGAAAAUUGCCGGCAGGCUUAUUAGACGCUUGAUUAAACUUUCUUCUUUGCGGCGUCGCCGUGACCUAUUAAA